rnacentral:misc_RNA from 1 species
UAUGAUUAUGAUGCUCCUCUUGAUGAAUAUGGACUACCACAUGAUCCAAAAUGGGGACACUUGAGAGAUCUGCAUAGAGCCAUCAAGCAAAGUGAAGCUGCUUUAGUCUCUGGAGAUCCUACAGUAAUAUCACUCGGGAAAAAUCAAGAUGCUCAUGUGUUUCAAUCAAAGACUGCUUGUGCAUCCUUUCUAGCAAACUAUGACACACAAUAUUCUGUGAAAGUGAUCUUCUGGAAUAAGGAAUAUUGGCUACCACCUUGGUCUAUCAGUAUCCUUCCUGACUGCAAAACUGUAGUUCAUAACACUGCAAGGAUUGGUGCCCAAGGCACCCAAAUGUGGAUGAUGCCUGCCAUUAAUGGAUUUUCUUGGCAAUCACACAAUGAUGAGGUUACUGUUAGUGAUUCUGCUGGUACAUUUACCCAUGAUGGAUUAUGGGAGCAAAAAUUCAUCACUUCUGAUAAAACAGAUUAUUUGUGGUACAUGAUCGAUGUAAAUAUAGAUGCUAAUGAAGGAUUCUUGAAGAAUGGACAAAACCCUCUUCUUUCAGUUGAUUCGGCUGGCCAUGUUUUGCACGUUUUCAUCAAUGGUCAAUUAGCAGGAUCUGUAUGGGGGACCUUAGAGACUCCUAAGGUAACAUUUAGCCAGAAUGUGAAGU